UAAAGAUGUGCUAUCAUAUUC
rnacentral:piRNA from 1 species